CCGUUCUGUCAUCGGUGUCCCUGGAGAGAGAGGAAUGGCUGGACCCAGAGGAGUCGUUGGGGGCAUCGGACCAGUGGGCAACAUGGGGGUUCAGGGAGUUAAAGGCUUCCAGGGAGGUAAGGGAGCUAUGGGAGACCCAGGACUUCCAGGUCCGACCGGUAUCCGUGGAGGAUUUGGUGAGAGGGUGAGUUUUGUUGACAAAGCACCAAAUGACCAAUUGCAGUUACCGCACCCAAUCACACCAAGCCCAACUGCAACAGUACCACAGUGAAUAUUCUGCAGUCAGGAGAUUACCAACACUCUUUCGCCCAUCUUCCAAACAGCCAGAUGGCAACCAUAAACCAAGUGAGCUAAUCAUAUCGUGGAUAUGGAAAUUGAGUGAAUAUAAUCAAUCACAGCACACAGACCCUUUUGAAAUGGUUGUGGUCUCCCUUCAGACCAAUAAAGUGCACAUACCAAUAAC